UACGGGAGGCAGCAGUGGGGAAUAUUGCACAAUGGGCGCAAGCCUGAUGCAGCAAUGCCGCGUGUGUGAAGAAGGCCUGCGGGUUGUAAAGCACUUUUAUUAGGAAAGAAAAACCCGGAGCUAAUACCUCCGGCAUUGACGGUACCUAAAGAAUAAGCACCGGCUAACUCAGUGCCAGCAGCCGCGGUAAU
rnacentral:rRNA from 1 species